CAUCGGAAUCUACCCUGUCGUGGGGGACAACGUAGGGAAACUUACGCUAAUACCGCAUACGACCUUUGGGUGAAAGCGGGGGACUCGCAAGAGCCUCGCGCGAUUGGAUGAGCCGAUGUCCGAUUAGCUAGUUGGCGGGGUAAUGGCCCACCAAGGCGACGAUCGGUAGCUGGUCUGAGAGGAUGAUCAGCCACACUGGGACUGAGACACGGCCCAG
rnacentral:rRNA from 1 species